rnacentral:lncRNA from 1 species
CAUUCGUAGUUCCACUAUCGUCAACUCUAAUCUUUCCAUAAAAUACUUCUAACAAAAAAUCAUAAGCACCAUAUUACACAUCAACCUUACGUCAACAACAAUUAUCAUCUUUCAUACACGCAUGUAAUGUAACCCAUUCUCACACAGAUACUUUCCAAUUCAUCCAUCAUAUAGAUCACUCUGUUUCACAUAAUACCGCAAAUCAUAGUAUGUAACAUAUCAAAUAACCAACAAAGCACAAUGUUAUUCUCAAGUCACAUUAAUCAAUUACUCUAAUCAUAAUAAUCUCAAUCAUACCCAACGUCAUUCCACAAUCACUUCAAUUAAUUAAUCAUGAAUCAAAGAUACAUGAUCUUAGCAUUUAAUUGUUUAAUCAAUGAAUACAGUAACAUAUCAUUUCACAAAUUUAACCAAGGAACUCUAUCAACUCCGAAAGAGUUACCCAUACAUCCAACGGAUCAUUUGGAACAAAUCACAACAGCUCAUAAUCAUAAUCUCAUACAACACCAUGAAAAGUAAGGCUAGAGCGACAUAGUUCAGCCGAAGCCUACAUCUCUAAAGCUAUCUCGAUCCAAACUCAAUAAAACCCAAGGUGAACACAAUCCCGAACCAUCUCUCAACAGAAUCACGAAGUAUGAAGGAUUCCGAACCAGCUCUUAACGAAAUCCAAGUGGAUACGAUUUCGGACUAUCACUCAACGAAAUCGCGGAGCACACUGCAUAACCACCACUAAGUGAAACCCAAGUUAGAUAUGAUUCUGGAACAUCACUUAAUGGAAUUGUGGAGUAGAAGGGAUUCCAGACCAUCACUCAACGAAAUCGGGGAGUACAAGGGAUUCCGGACCAUCACAACGAAAUCCAAACCAGGAUACAAUUCAAGAUCACCACUCAACGGAAUCGCGGAGUAGAAUGUGUAACACCAAUCAAUAAAACAAGACAUGGAUCAAGUUACUCAAUGUACAAAGACUCAACGGAAUGAGGAUGAAUAAUGGCACGUGGGUUGAAACAUGUUUCGAAGGCAACCAACCCCAAAACAAUGGUUAAUGGUCCACUUUUAGCCCUCACAUUUCAUCACCUCAAUCCAAUCAUACAAUACAAACCAUAUUUCCAAUGCACAAGUCAAAUCAUACAUAAUGAAAAGAGAUCAAUGACCAAAAAUAAAAUAACACUUCAAUAGAAUUCACAUUUAAUUAACAUGGGUCUAUGGCAUAUAUAUAUAUAUAUAUAACAUGAGCCAAAGAAAUCAUUUUUCUGCAGCUUACGUAACAGCCCAUUUCCAAUUCAUAUAACAAAUCUCAAAAUACUUCCAGGUAGCCUAGAAGCAUGUAUACAACAUCCAAAACUAACAUGACUCAAAAUUAACAAGAAAUUGACCUUUUGAACCAAACCCUUGAUCAAGAAAUUUGAUCUACACACCCAAUCUGAAAUACCCAACUCUAAUUCAUGUUAGACUAGUUCAUUGAAUGAUAGAAACCCUAAAUAGAAUUAAGAACUCCAAUAUAUCAUGGCAGUUUCAAUUCAACUUAAGAAAGUUAAAUUUGAAAAUCAAGAUAAUGAAGUAACAAGGAAUUUUACCCUUUAAAUGUCUGAAUCCUUCCUUCACAAUCACGUUCUCUAUCUCCUCUCUCUCCGAUUUUUGCUUGAAGAAAGAAGGAUUUUCUUCCAACAGCAAUGGAAGAGCCACCUCCUCUCUGUUUCUUUUUCUUUCCUCGCAAAGCCAGGAAGAAUGUGGAAGAACGUUCUUUUCCCCCUUUUCUUUCGCAACUCCCUUUUUCCUUCUCUCCUCCCUCCCUGUUUCUUUUCCUUCUUCCCCCCGUUGGUCCCUCAUUUUCCUCCUCUGUUUCUUUUUUUUUUCCCCUCUUUUUCUCGC